UACGUAGGGUGCAAGCGUUGUCCGGAAUUAUUGGGCGUAAAGAGCUCGUAGGCGGUCUGUCGCGUCUGCUGUGAAAACUCAGGGCUUAACCCUGAGCUUGCAGUGGGUACGGGCAGACUAGAGUGCGGUAGGGGAGACUGGAAUUCCGUGGUGUAGCGGUGAAAUGCGCAGAUAUCAGGAGGAACACCGGUGGCGAAGGCGGGUCUCUGGGCCGUAACUGACGCUGGAGGAGCGAAAGCCAUGGGGAGCGAACAGG
rnacentral:rRNA from 1 species